rnacentral:rRNA from 1 species
UACAGAGGGUGCAAGCGUUAUUCGGAAUUAUUGGGCGUAAAGAGCGUGUAGGUGGUUUGAUAAGUCUGGUGUGAAAGCCCUGAGCUCAACUCAGGAAGUGCAUUGGAUACUGUCGAACUGGAGUACAGGAGAGGAAAGCGGAAUUCCAGGUGUAGAGGUGAAAUUCGUAGAUAUCUGGAGGAACAACAGAGGCGAAGGCGGCUUUCUGGACUGUUACUGACACUAAGGCGCGAAAGCGUGGGGAGCAAACAGG